rnacentral:lncRNA from 1 species
AUUUGAGCAUCACUCCUUCAACCAUGUGACCAUAGCAUCAAAUCUUUUUCUCUGGUCAUUAUUUUGGAUCGUGAAGCAACUAUGUUUUAUGUUGCUCUAUAAAUUGACAAAUUUUACCAGGACAUUCUCCUAUCCAUAUCAUUGCCUCAUGCCAAAAUUCAACUUAAUUUAGCUAGUAAAUAUUUCUUGGCAAAUUUCCAAAGUUUCUGAUCCAAAGGAAUCUUUGUGAAGCAAGUGCUAGCUAGGAGUGUUCAAAUGCGUUGAAAAUUUGCCAUCAUCUCAAAAUGCUCAAAUAAUGCCUCUUCUACAAAUUUGAGCAUCACUUCUUCAACCAUGUGACCAUAGCAUCAAAUCUUUUUCUCUGGUCAUUAUUUUGGAUUGUGAAGCAACUAUGUUUUAUGGGGCUGUUUUUUGUUGCUCCAUAAAUUGACAAAUUUUAUCAGGACAUUCUCCUACCUAUAAAACCUCUCUAAACAAAUGUUGAGCACAUUUUAU